UCGAGUUGCGUGGUUGUGCGGAGUUAUAUUUACCAAAUCGUUUUCAAAAUUAAAUCAAUAUGUCAAUAUGGCUACUGGGUGUAAAAGAUAAAUCUUAUUUUAAUGAGUUUUAGAUAAUUUUAGUUGUAUUUCUUUGUAAUUUUGUGUUGUACAAAGAUUAAUUUAACAUUUUCUCUGGAAGUAUUAAUUUAGAAAGAUAAUAUGCCUCAUUGGUGUUGUGUUUUGAAGUGUUAGGUAAAUGCAAAGUAAUUGUGAUAAAGUCAAGAUAAAGUUCACUUUUAAACUGAACUAAAUAAGGUAUCUGAGAGACAACAAUGGUUAAAUGCAAUACAAUGUACAGGUUUUACUAGCGAAAUGAAAAUUUUCCUGUCCUGUCUGCUGUAAUCAUUUUAUAUCUGGAAAACCAGCUGACUUAAUCGAUAAUAACAAUCUCCAGAUUGGGUUCCUUCAAUAAAUAUGGUCUAUAAACACAAUGAAAUAAGUUCCCCAAAAUCUAAAAUGGAGUGGUAUCAAAGGAGAAUUAAAGGGAAAAAUAUUCAUAUUGAAAUUAUUUAUAAGGCACUGGACUGUCUUAAAUUCUACAAUAAUACUAGAAUCAGCUGAGAGAAGUGGUCUACAAAAAACCAGGAAGGAAACGGAAUAUGUGGCUACGAAAGGCAAAAGAAAGGUUUACAAAGCAAAUGUGACACAUUUUUUUGAAAUAUUUAGGAAUAUCAGUAAAUUGCAUUAAAAAAAUGUAUGAAAAGAUUUUGUUCAAUAAAAAUGUUUAUAUUUAUCAAGGAUGUAUUAUUUGGUAUGGCCACAUAUCGUCAGUGAUGUAAUAAUACAUCCUAUCUGUUUUUUCAUGAGUUUUGUAAGAGAGACUAAAAACUUGUCUUAGGGUCACCUCCUGUUUUCAUAUAUUUUUUGACUUGUUUUGUAGUAAAUUAAACUAUCUAUGAACUACAAAACAAGUCAAAACUUACAUAUGAACACAGGAGGUGACCUUAAAACAUGUUUUUCCAUCUCUCAUACAAAACUCAUGAAAAAACAGAUAGGAGGUAUUGUCACAUCAGCAAGGAUGUACAGUGAUGAGUGCCCUAAUCACCGGCAAAAUAUGGGCAACAUAUUUAGUUGUGAGAUAAAAAGAAAUGAAACUAGUCGAGCUGGGAAAUUUAGCGAAAUUAACCUUUAAAUUUACGUUAUAUUGAUCCCACCUUUACACAUAUCGGAGGAGUAUGUCAACUAAAACUGUCACUGUGACAGUGGUAGUUUCCAAACUCGUCUGAUACGUCUGAAGGUGGUACACAAUCAAUACAAUCUAAAUGUAUAAGUUAAUAUCGCUAAAUUUCCCAGCUCGACUAGUUUCAUGUCUUUUUAUCUCACUACUUAAUACAUCUUUUGUGCUAUUUUGCCGGUUAUUGAGCGCUCAUCACUGUAUUUCUGGUAUAUCCAGGGAAUGUCUACAAAAUAUAUUUUGAAUGUCCAGAGAACAUUCGUGGACAUUCAUGGAAUGUUCCAAUAAGACAUUCAGGUAAUGUUUAAAAUGCUGACACAGGAUUUUCCUGGGAUGUUCAGGGAACAU